rnacentral:rRNA from 1 species
GUUAAGUCAGAUGUGAAAGACCCGGGGCGUCAACCUCGGAAUAGCAUUUGAAACUGGCAGACUAGAGUACUGUAGAGGGGGUAGAAUUUCAGGUGUAGCGGUGAAAUGCGUAGAGAUCUGAAGGAAUACCCGGUGGCGAAGGCGGCCCCCUCGGACAGAUACUGACACUCAGAUGCGAAAAGCGUGGGGAGCAAACAGGAUUAGAUACCCCUGGUAG